CCGUUAGGAAUAUUCCGUCAAAUAGUGACGAAAACCGUUAAACUAACCAACGCCGUUAGGAAUAUCCUGUCAAAGUUGACGGAAUAUUCCGUCAUCCCCUACCUUAGAACUCCGGUGACUGUCGCUGGCACCGGAAACCGGGAAAUUCUUAAAAUCCUUAUAUCUCCGUCAAUUCUUAACCAAAACUCAUGAAACUUGAACCAAAUUGAAGCUUAGGAAAAAUAGAACAUAAUCUUACCAAUUCCAAGCUCCAAAAAUCACGGGAUCUUGCUUGAGAAAGCUCGACAAUUCCGGCCAAAUUUCAGACUCUUUAAACUUGACUUUCCGACGUCCAAUUUGCUUGGUUUUUCUUCUCCGAGCUUCAUACGAACGUCCUAAAGCUCUCUAUGAGCUUAAAAUCCCCUGAAACAUCCAUAAUUAUGACCACAUGAACAGUACUCAAAUCAUGGGUGAUGGUUCCUCGGGUUUUCGAAGGUUUCAAGUUCUAAAAAUAGUACGAAUGGACUCAGGUGCUUGUAGGGAACAAGAAUAUUACAUUUUGAAAGUCGAUCCAUGCAUGAAAGCUUGGGUUUGAAGUUCAUCCGUACAAAGUUGACGGAAACAGGAGGAAAUCAUGAGGGAGGAGAGAGAGAGAGAGUGCACGGGAAGGAGAGAAAGAGAGUUUGUGUGUGUGCGUGUGGUCCACGUGGGUUACCAAUCAAAACCACAAAAACUAUGUUCUAAUUUGAUCCAAAAAUUAAGGAAAAACAUAAGUUUGGACCACCACUAACAUGCAUAACACACACCACAACACUCACGUCCAAGGGUAAAAUAGUCAACUCACUUAAUCGCUAAUUUAUUUCAAAAAGGGCUGUGACAAUCUACCCACCUUAUAAAAAA
rnacentral:lncRNA from 1 species